rnacentral:rRNA from 1 species
GAGUUUGAUCUUGGCUCAGAUUGAACGCUGGCGGCAGGCCUAACACAUGCAAGUCGAGCGGAUGACGGGAGCUUGCUCCUUGAUUCAGCGGCGGACGGGUGAGUAAUGCCUGGGAAUCUGCCUGGUAGUGGGGGACAACGUUUCGAAAGGAACGCUAAUACCGCAUACGUCCUACGGGAGAAAGCAGGGGACCUUCGGGCCUUGCGCUAUCAGAUGAGCCUAGGUCGGAUUAGCUAGUUGGUGGGGUAAUGGCUCACCAAGGCGACGAUCCGUAACUGGUCUGAGAGGAUGAUCAGUCACACUGGAACUGAGACACGGUCCAGACUCCUACGGGAGGCAGCAGUGGGGAAUAUUGGACAAUGGGCGAAAGCCUGAUCCAGCCAUGCCGCGUGUGUGAAGAAGGUCUUCGGAUUGUAAAGCGCUUUAAGUUGGGAGGAAGGGCAGUAAGUUAAUACCUUGCUGUUUGACGUUACCGACAGAAUAAGCACCGGCUAACUCUGUGCCAGCCGCCGAC